rnacentral:rRNA from 1 species
GAGUUUGAUCCUGGCUCAGGACGAACGCUGGCGGCGUGCCUAACACAUGCAAGUCGAACGAAGCACCUUACCUGAUUCUUCGGAUGAAGGUCUGGUGACUGAGUGGCGGACGGGUGAGUAACGCGUGGGUAACCUGCCCUGUACAGGGGGAUAACAGUUGGAAACGGCUGAUAAUACCGCAUAAGCGCACGAGAGGACAUCCUCUUGUGUGAAAAACUCCGGUGGUACAGGAUGGGCCCGCGUCUGAUUAGCUGGUUGGCAGGGUAACGGCCUACCAAGCCGACGAUCAGUAGCCGACCUGAGAGGGUGACCGGCCACAUUGGGACUGAGACACGGCCCAAACUCCUACGGGAGGCAGCAGUGGGGAAUAUUGCACAAUGGGGGAAACCCUGAUGCAGCGACGCCGCGUGAGCGAUGAAGUAUUUCGGUAUGUAAAGCUCUAUCAGCAGGGAAGAAAAUGACGGUACCUGACUAAGAAGCACCGGCUAAAUACGUGCCAGCCGCCGCGGUAAUUC